rnacentral:rRNA from 1 species
AGCGAACGCUGGCGGCAGGCCUAACACAUGCAAGUCGAACGAACCUUUCGGGGUUAGUGGCGGACGGGUGAGUAACACGUGGGAACGUGCCUUUAGGUUCGGAAUAACUCAGGGAAACUUGUGCUAAUACCGAAUGUGCCCUUCGGGGGAAAGAUUAAUCGCCUUUAGAGCGGCCCGCGUCUGAUUAGCUAGUUGGUUGAGGUAAUGGCUCACCAAGGCGACGAUCAGUAGCUGGUCUGAGAGGAUGAUCAGCCACAUUGGGACUGAGACACGGCCCAAACUCCUACGGGAGGCAGCAGUGGGGAAUCUUGCGCAAUGGGCGAAAGCCUGACGCAGCCAUGCCGCGUGAAUGAUGAAGGUCUUAGGAUUGUAAAAUUCUUUCACCGGGGACGAUAAUGACGGUACCCGGAGAAGAAGCCCCGGCUAACUUCG